GACGUAGGGCGCGAGCGUUGUCCGGAUUUAUUGGGCGUAAAGAGCUCGUAGGCGGUUUGUCGCGUCUGCUGUGAAAACCCGAGGCUCAACCUCGGGCCUGCAGUGGGUACGGGCAGACUAGAGUGUGGUAGGGGAGACUGGAAUUCCUGGUGUAGCGGUGAAAUGCGCAGAUAUCAGGAGGAACACCGGUGGCGAAGGCGGGUCUCUGGGCCGAUACUGACGCUGAGGAGCGAAAGCGUGGGGAGCGAACAGG
rnacentral:rRNA from 1 species